AGGGAAAGUUGCAAAGCACUUUGAAGAGAGAGUUAAAGAGGACGUGAAACCGAUAAGAUGGAAACGGAUAGAGCUAGCGUAUCUAGCUUGUAUUCAGCUGCUUAGGCGCGGGUAGCUUGCUCUCCAAUCCAGACUAUGGUUGGUUGGCUUGUGUCACCUGUGUCUGGGCAGUGCACUUGCAAGUGGAGUGCGCUGAGGCGUGUGGAUUGGCGGUUUGAAGUGCGCCCUGAGGAUACCUUUGUGUAAAACCCAGGCGUACCCAGAGCUGUUCGGUCUGCAUGUAAAUGAGCAUGGCUUACGGGCCGGGGCUCUGCCGAGUGAGUCACUGGUAACGGUCGCAUGCGACACGUGCCAUUUGCUUGCUCGGUUGGGUUCUGGUUCACUUGCUCACCCUCGGUGUAAAAGCUAGUCAUCUAUCCGACCCGUCUUGAAACACGGACCAAGGAGUUUAGCGUAUACGCGAGUCAUUGAGUGAAAAACUUAAAGGCGUAAUGAAAGUAAAUGCUCUCUUGUAGAGCUGAUAUGUGACCCUGUGCACCUCGGUGCCCAGGAGCAGCAUAGCCCCGUCCUAAUCGCUUGCGAUGGGGCGGAGGUAGAGCGUAUUCGCUGAGACCCGAAAGAUGGUGAACUAUUCCUGAGCAGGAUGAAGCCAGUGGAAACUCUGGUGGAAGUCCGAAGCGGUUCUGACGUGCAAAUCGAUCGUCUGACU
rnacentral:rRNA from 1 species